UUACUAUAGCUUUGCACUGGACUUUGAGCUUGCUUGUGUAGGAUAGGUGGGAGGCUUUGAAGUGGGGACGCCAGUUCUCAUGGAGCCAACCUUGAAAUACCACCCUGGCAACCUUGAGGUUCUAACUCUGGUCCGUUAUCCGGAUCGAGGACAGUGUAUGGUGGGUAGUUUGACUGGGGCGGUCUCCUCCCAAAGAGUAACGGAGGAGUACGAAGGUGCGCUCAGACCGGUCGGAAAUCGGUCGUAGAGUAUAAAGGCAAAAGCGCGCUUGACUGCGAGACAGACACGUUCGAGCAGGUCACGAAAGUAGGUCUUAGUGAUCCGGUGGUUCUGUAUGGAAGGGCCAUCGCUCAACGGGAUAAAAGGUACUCCGGGGAUAACAGGCUGAUACCGCCCAAGAGUUCAUAUCGACGGCGGUGUUUGGCACCUCGAUGUCGGCUCAUCGCAUCCUGGGGCUGAAGCCGGUCCCAAGGGUAUGGCUGUUCGCCAUUUAAAGUGGUACGCGAGCUGGGUUUAGAACGU
rnacentral:rRNA from 1 species